UACGUAGGGUGCAAGCGUUAAUCGGAAUUACUGGGCGUAAAGCGUGCGCAGGCGGUUUUGUAAGUCUGACGUGAAAUCCCCGGGCUCAACCUGGGAAUUGCGUUGGAGACUGCAAGGCUGGAGUCUGGCAGAGGGGGGUAGAAUUCCACGUGUAGCAGUGAAAUGCGUAGAGAUGUGGAGGAACACCGAUGGCGAAGGCAGCCCCCUGGGUCAAGAUUGACGCUCAUGCACGAA
rnacentral:rRNA from 1 species